GUAAGGAAUAUUGGUCAAUGGGGGAAACCCUGAUCCAGCCAUGCCGCGUGAGUGAAGAAGGCCUUCGGGUUGUAAAACUCUUUCAGAUGUGAAGAUGAUGACGGUAACAUCAGAAGAAGCUCCGGCUAACUUCGUGCCAGCAGCCGCGGUAAUACGAAGGGAGCGAGCGUUGUUCGGAAUCACUGGGCGUAAAGAGUGCGUAGGCGGUUAUACAAGUCAGGAGUGAAAUCCCAGAGCUUAACUUUGGAAUUGCUUUUGAAACUGUAUAGCUAGAGUCCCGGAGGGGUUAAUGGAAUUCCGAGUGUAGAGGUGAAAUUCGCAGAUAUUCGGAGGAACACCAGUGGCGAAGGCGAUUAACUGGACGGGCACUGACGCUGAGGCACGAAAGCGUGGGGAUCAAACAGGAUUAGAUACCCUAGUAGUCC
rnacentral:rRNA from 1 species